AGCGGAUCAAUGGGGAGCUUGCUCCCCUGAGAUCAGCGGCGGACGGGUGAGUAACACGUGGGCAACCUGCCUGUAAGACUGGGAUAACUCCGGGAAACCGGGGCUAAUACCGGAUAACAUUUUCCAUUACAUAGUGGAAAAUUAAAAGAUGGCUCCGGCUAUCACUUACAGAUGGGCCCGCGGCGCAUUAGCUAGUUGGUGAGGUAAGGGCUCACCCAGGCGACGAUGCGUAGCCGACCUGAGAGGGUGAUCGGCCACACUGGGACUGAGACACGGCCCAGACUCCUACGGGAGGCAGCAGUAGGGAAUCUUCGGCAAUGGGCGAAAGCCUGACCGAGCAACGCCGCGUGAGCGAUGAAGGCCUUCGGGUCGUAAAGCUCUGUUGUUAGGGAAGAACAAGUACCGCUCAAAUAGGGCGGUACCUUGACGGUACCUAACCAGAAAGCCACGGCUAACUACGUGCCAGCAGCCGCGGUAAUACGUAGGUGGCAAGCGUUGUCCGGAAUUAUUGGGCGUAAAGCGCGCGCAGGCGGUCUCUUAAGUCUGAUGUGAAAGCCCACGGCUCAACCGUGGAGGGUCAUUGGAAACUGGGGGACUUGAGUACUGGAGAG
rnacentral:rRNA from 1 species